GGUACUAGUCCGGGACAAUCGGCGACUAGGUGGAGGCAAGCUGAGUGAUCGGUGGGAGGCGAGGCCGUACAUUGUGCAACGGCAGCAGAGACCGGGGCAGCCGGUCUACACGAUCCGGCCAGAAGGGAAGCCUGGGCCGGAUCGGGUGGUCCAUCGGAACAUGAUCCGCCCUUGUCCAAAUUAUCCCCCACUAGCCACAGAGGUGGCUCCUAAGGAGCCGGAGGCUGCUACCCCCUGGUAUGGAGGGUGGGUCAUCUUUCCAAGAGGCCCGGCGGAGGGGCCGGCCCGAGUGGCCCCAAGGGAGCCUGAGAACUUACCUGUCGUAGUGGGUCCAGUGAACGACGUAGCCCCAGAGGCUCCAGGAGAGCCGGAUAACUUACCUGCUGAAGGAGCCCCAGAGGCUCCAGGAGAGCUGGAUGACUUACCUGCCGAAGAAGCCCCAGAGCCCCCACCACAGCGGCCCCAGCGUGAGACCCGGGGGCGGCCGCCCAUCCGGUAUGGAGAGUGGGUUACAGGAAGCGGUUCUAGGGACUAGAACCAUUUCGGCGGGGGAGGAUGUCACAGGUGACGUUUUAAAUGAACGACGGGCGGAACCCGGCUUCCACAUUUUAUUUGGACGACGGGCGGAACCCGGCUUCCACAUUUCAUUUCCGGGGUUUCCCCGAAGUCAAAUUAAGCCUGAUCACGCUCAGGUGGGGCAAAUUAACACAGCGGUUGUUAAUAGGCUGACAAGGAGAAGAGUCAGGGUAUAAAAACACCUUGCAGACAUCAAACGGGGUGCUUGUGGUAUACUUUGUGUACGUUGUGUUGCUGCUUUGCAGACGGACCACGCUGGUCGGAUCGCUCUCCGGGGGAAGAGAGUUAAGAGACAAUCAGCUGACGAAGGAAUAUUGUGGGGUUUCCGUGAGAAAGAGAGGACACAGAGCCAUCAAGAGCACAGUGAACAGAGGUUAUUGGCAACCAAGCGUGAGUAACCGCUGUGAUACUUAUCUGUACAUAACUUGUAUGAAGAGUUGUCCUGGCGUGUGUUUUGUGUUUCUUGAGGUCCCUGGCCCCACUGGAGAGGAAAGCGUGGGUGAGCCGCGGGUUGACCGGAAGCACGGACGAAGCACCGUUCACCAGUAAGACAGUGGCCCUGUGGGAAGAAGGAAGCGCAGCGUUCAAACUACCUAGCCUCCGACGAGACACGAGAUGAUGACAUCCGUUGUGGCCUGAGUCCUACAGAGAGAGAGAAAAAUCAAGCCCUGUGCCCGGGGUGUGACAACGAGAGCUUCGUUUAUACACAGAGCAGACAGUGGUAAACCGCAGUGAGUAAUACCUAGUGUGUACCGUGUGGAUUGUGUGUCGUAACGGUGUGUGUGCUGACCUUUUCAACGGCAGCUUGUGGUGAACGGAGCCCCGACGAAAGUUCGCCCCAGCUCGUGACCCCGGUCGUGGAAGAAGGAGGGGGGAGUUUGGGAAGCGUUCGGCUCCGUGCCAUCGGACCCACUAGUCCCUACGACGCCCGGACAGCCAAACUGGAGGGGCGAAGGAAUAUAGUACACCGACACGCAAUUACCUACCUGAACCAGUGAAGCUCUGUGUGGGAACGAGGAUCCCCCGGCACUGUGAGUAACGCAACCUGGAAAUAACCUGUUCUGUGCUUAUAGCAGCUAUCUACCCGAACCAGUGAAGCUUGUGUGGGAACGAGGAUCCCCCGGCACUGUGAGUAACGCAACCUGUGAGAUAAUCUGUUCUGUGCUUAUAGCAACUACCUACCUGAACCAGUGAAGCUUGUGUGGGAACGAGGAUCCCCCGGCACUGUGAGUAACGCAACCUGGAAAUAACCUGUUCUGUGCUUAUAGCAGCUAUCUACCCGAACCAGUGAAGCUUGUGUGGGAACGAGGAUCCCCCGGCACUGUGAGUAACGCAACUUGUGAGAUAAUCUGUUCUGUGCUUAUAGCAACUACCUACCUGAACCAGUGAAGCUUGUGUGGGAACGAGGAUCCCCCGGCACUGUGAGUAACGCAACCUGGAAAUAACCUGUUCUGUGCUUAUAGCAGCUAUCUACCCGAACCAGUGAAGCUCUGUGUGGGAACGAGGAUCCCCCGGCACUCCAAUACCUACCUGAACCAGUGAAGCUUGUGUGGGAACGAGGAUCCCCCGGCACUGUGAGUAACGUAACCUGGAAAUAACCUGUUCUGUGCUUAUAGCAGCUAUCUACCUGAACCAGUGAAGCUCUGUGUGGGAACGAGGAUCCCCCGGCACUCAAAUACCUACCUGAACCAGUGAAGCUUGUGUGGGAACGAGGAUCCCCCGGCACUGUGAGUAACGCAACCUAGAAAUAACCUGUUCUGUGCCUAUAGCAGCUACCUACCUGAACCAGUGAAGCUCUGUGUGGGAACGAGGAUCCCCCGGCACUCAAAUACCUACCUGAACCAGUGAGGCCCUGUGUGGGAACGAGGAUCCCCCAGUACUGCAAGCAUCAGCGAAGUAUUUACCUGGUCGGACCGUGUUUGAUUCUGCCUCCAGGAGAAGCGGAGCGCGCCACGGAUUGCUGGGCCAGAGCCCCGGCCCCCAGUCUUUUCCCCAAGUGGCCCUGGAGGCAAAGAAGAGCAGAUUAGUUUUAAACUUCCCUUUUUCCCUUCCCCCUUUCCCUUUUUAAAUAUUUAAUAAAGCUUGUUUUAAUUGUA